rnacentral:lncRNA from 1 species
AGCCGCGCGCGGGGCCCGGCCCGCUGGGAGGCCUCCGACGCGAAAGGAGCACAGCCCCUCUGCCUGUUUGUGGCUCCCCCGGUUUCCCCUGUGAGCGUCUUGGCCUCUCCGCGAGAGCGGGUCUCACCACAGACCUCCUCCGCAAAGUCGCUGCCUGGUCAGGAGAGGCCAGGAGGUGUCACAGCGAAGGCCGUCUCCUCAGGGUAGCCGUCCAGAGUGCGCCUGUCAAGUGCGGGGAGAGAAGCGAGCGGAGGCCUAGAAAGAUGAAACUCACAGAGAUAGAAAGCAACUAGCCCAAAACUCAACAAGAGCAAAUGGAUUGGAUUCCAGGUUUGUGCACUCAAACCGGUGCUCUUUUCACCAUGCUGCAUUGUCUCCAGAAGGAGGACUGGUAGGUGGUAAGGUCUGUCAUGUGACUGUCCCAUUGUCUCACGUGUUUGUAGGUGGAACUUCAAAGCUUUCACAAGUAGGUGAUACAGUUCUGAGGUGCGGAAGAAGGUAGAGUUUGUUUUCCAUGUGGCAGAAGAGUUUCAAAUGUUACCACCAGCUUGUCAUUGAUAUUUAAGUUCUUUUUGGCUCAAGGAUUGUUCCCUAUUAAAACAAUUAAAUUUACUUGGGAAGAAUGGGGCCUUUAUGGUAAGUCAUUUAUAUACCUUAUCAGUUUAAGCCUAAAUGAUGUAGAUGGGACAAUGAAUAUAGAUAUAUAUAUAUUAUACAUUUAAUUUUAUGUAUUUAAUAUAAAUAUGUAUAAAUUCUAUAUACAUGUAUAUACUUACAGUUACUUAUAUACAUAUAUAGUAAUAUCUAAUUACAUAUAUUUAUACAUAUUUAAUAUAUAGUUACAUGUAUAUUUACAUGUGUAGAGAGAGUUAUAUAGAGCUAUCUCUCUCUCUUUCCUGGACACAUGUUAUUCAGAGAUGUGUUAAAUUCAUUUUUUCUUGUCUUUUGGAGCAAAAUUUUCAUUGUUCUUGAGUCAUCUCUUAAAUAUAAAGAAAGAUUACUAUUUAAAGGAAUCCAAAGAAGAAUUUUAGUAUUUUAAUUCUUUAGAGGAUUAAUCUGGUAAAUGUAUGAUUUGGUAUUUUUGUCAGGGCUGCAUUUGUACAUGAGAACAACAUCUCUGUUGUUAAAUUCUAAAGCAAUACAUUAAUAUUAAGUUAAUGCAAUGCAAUUUUAUACUUUUCAUUUUUGCUGUUUUAUUUUUUUUAGGGCCACACCUGUGGUAUAUGGAAGUUCCCAGGUUAGAGGUCAAAUCAAAGCUGCAGCUGCUGGUCUACACCACAGCUGCAGCAGCACCAGAUCUGAGCCGCCUCUGUGAUCUAUACCACAGCUUACAGCUCACAGCCAGGGAUCAAACCUGCAUCAUCAUGGAUACUAGUCAGGUUCGUUACUGCUGAGCCACAACAGGAACUUCCCAUUUUUUGCUGUUUUAGAAUGGUCACAAUAGACUCAACUGAAAUAUUUCUAGAAAGAUGUAAAUACUAUAUUAAGUCUUUCUUAGCAAUGUUGAAGUUUUAAAUUUUUUUUUUUUACAGAAAUAUCAAGAUAAGAGUAAGAUUACUAUUAAGUGCGCAUUUAUGGGGAGAAUUAGUUUCUUGUUAUAAAAGAGUUAAUGACUGGGUUUAGUGGUGUAAGGCUCUAAGGAAAGCAGUUUUUAAAUCAAGAACAGCCUGACAGGAGAAAAGUGCACGUCAUUCAGUGCAAUUGCUGAAUAAAUGGUCCUUGUUUUAGAGAGUACAGUUUAUAGUAAUUGAAAAAAAAUCUCAUGUGCCAUUUCAUUGUUUACUUCAUUUGUUUGCUUUCUGUGUAGUUGAAUUUCACAUAAAGGAGACAAUGAAAACUAUUUUCAGGUGCAUUAUUCUAUUUUCUACAGAUUCUUUAAAUUUUAUAGCUUAGCUCUUAGUAAGUAUUCUCCAGGGGGUAUAUAUAUAUAUAUGUGUGUGUGUGUAUGUUUUAUGAGAUAAGCGGAAGGGGAAUGACAUUUCUUUCGAAACCAGCCUCUGAUUUGAUUGUUAUAUUUCUUUAAACAGCAAAAAAUUGGCUUUCAGUCACGUUUUGGGUUUAUUUCUAACCAUUUGCCAAAGCAAACCUCAUUUAAAUUAGAGGACAUAAUUAUAUUUCACAUUUUGUAGGGCUGUGUUUUGAAAACUACAGGAACACAGAUAUAAAGCACUCUGCCAGACAAACGUUAUCAAAAAACAGUAUAUGAGAUUCAGUUCUCCAUCACGCUACAUUUUCCCAUGUAUUUUUGUCAGAAUUUGGCUUUUAUACCUGGGCGAAAUGAAUUUGAGGAAAAAUCAAUAUGUUCUCAUUUUGAAGCAGCAAAAAUUUGCUAUUGCUUAUUUUAUGAAUGAUGCAUGGAAUUGGCAUGUAAGAAUAAGUGGAAACAGUGAAACUUAGAGCAACAUUCAAAAGAUUUAGGGGGAGUUCCCGUCGUGGCGCAGUGGUUAAUGAAUCCGACUAGGAACCAUGAGGUUGCAGGUUCGAUCCCUGCCCUUGAUCAGUGGGUUAACGAUCCGGCGUUGCCGUGAGCUGUGGUGUAGGUCGCAGACGCGGCUUGGAUCCUGCAUUGCUGUGGCUCUGGCAUAGGCUGGCAGCUACAGCUCCGAUUAGACCCCUAGCCUGGGAACCUCCAUAUGCUGCGGGAGCGGCCCAAGAAAUAGCAAAAAGACAAAAAAAAAAAAAAAAAAAAAAAA